rnacentral:lncRNA from 1 species
CAGACUCUCAGUCAAAAAUGUUGGACGGAGCACCAAGCCAAAGUCAAAAUAAAAGUAGCAUUGAAGACCAACUUAAUGAAUUAGACGCUGAUAAAUCCAAAACACUGUUAAAACCAAACCAACAAAAUAGGCCAUUAAUUCCAAACAAUUCUAUCAGUGAUUUUGCGUUGAAGUUGUAUGGAAUGAAUGUUUUGAAAUUUGAGGAAUUAAAUAGUUUCGAGGACAGGAACUAUCAUAUCACCGUAGACCCUGUUAUAAAAAAUGCCUAUAUUAAAGAUUUCAGCAAAGCA